rnacentral:rRNA from 1 species
UACGUAGGUGGCAAGCGUUGUCCGGAUUUACUGGGCGUAAAGAGCGCGCAGGCGGUCGUUCAAGUCGCGUGUGAAAGCCCCCCGGCUCAACUGGGGAGGGUCACGCGAUACUGAUCGACUCGAAGGCAGGAGAGGGAAGUGGAAUUCCCGGUGUAGUGGUGAAAUGCGUAGAUAUCGGGAGGAACACCGGUGGCGAAGGCGACUUCCUGGCCUGUUCUUGACGCUGAGGCGCGAAAGCUAGGGGAGCAAACGGG